rnacentral:misc_RNA from 1 species
GGGUAUGUCUCAGAAUUGUCAUCCACCAAAGCAGCGACCUCCACUAGUCGAUACGCGCGUUUCGAUAAUGCUAAUUUUGAUCGAGAAGUUUUCUGCCUGGGAAGCGAGAAGCUAGGGUAGGAAUUGGAGGAAGAAAUGGGUUUGAAGAAGUUAGUGCAGGAAAGGGAAUUGAUGGGUUGGUGAGGUUUUAUAUCGAACGUGGGAUUGGAAAGAGAAGUGGCGCUAGAGAAACUGCAAUUAGUGAAUGCAGCCAUUGGAGAUGUUUUCAAUGAAAAUUCAAGUGGAC